CAGGUCAACUGUGCCAUGGGACCCUCUUUGGGAAUUCAGACAUCAGCUUCUAGCUGGGUCAGCUGAGGACACGUGGAGGCCUGCGGUGUCUCCCUGCACCUUCCCAGGGAGGAGGGGCCUCAGGAGCUGCCUCUGACAGCCUGGGAAUUUGUCUCCUGGGUUUCCAACUCUGCUGUCUUUACUCUUUCUCUGGCCUCUUAACAAUCCCAUUUGGCCAAGACAGACAUGGAGCCUUGCUAUGUUGCCCAGGCUGGUCUUGAACUCCUGGAGUCAAGUGAUCCUCCCUUCUUGGCCUCCCAAAGCACUGGGAUUACAGAUGUGAGCCACUACGCCCAGCCUCAGACUUAAUUCUUGUUUUGUAGCAUGCAGUAUGUGUGUGUGUGCAUGUGUGCAUGUGCAUUUGCGUGUGCAUGUGUGUGAAUCUGUGUGUGUGCAUGUGUGAGCGUGCAUGUGAAUCUGUGUGUGUGCAUUGUGCAUUUGUGUGUGAAUCUGUGUGUGU
rnacentral:lncRNA from 10 species